rnacentral:misc_RNA from 1 species
UCCGGUUUGGCACCGGCAGUCUCCCUAGAGUUCCCGGCAUGAUCCGCUGGCAACUAAGGACAGGGGUUGCGCUCGUUGCGCCACUUAACCCAACAUCUCACGACACGAGCUGACGACAGCCAUGCAGCACCUGUGUCCAGGUUCCCUUUCGGGCACCCCUCCAUCUCUCCAGGCUCUCGGACAUGUCAAGGGUAGGUAAGGUUUUUCGCGUUGCAUCGAAUUAAUCCACAUAAUCCACCGCUUGUGCGGGUCCCCGUCAAUUCCUUUGAGUUUUAACCUUGCGGCCGUACUCCCCAGGCGGUCAACUUCACGCGUUAGCUUCGUUACCAAGGAAUUACUUCCCCGACAACCAGUUGACAUCGUUUAGGGCGUGGACUAC